rnacentral:rRNA from 1 species
AUACGGAGGAUGCAAGCGUUAUCCGGAUUUAUUGGGUUUAAAGGGUGCGCAGGCUGACCGGUAAGUCAGGGGUGAAACUUUACAGCUUAACUGUAAACGUGCCUUUGAUACUGCCGGACUAGAGUUUAAGAGACGUAAUUGGAAUGUGAUGUGUAGCGGUGAAAUGCUUAGAUAUAUCACAGAACGCCGAUCGUGAAGACAGAUUACGAACUUAAUACUGACGCUGAGGCUCGAAAGUAUGGGUAGC